rnacentral:rRNA from 1 species
GCAGUCGAACGGCAGCACGGGAGCAAUCCUGGUGGCGAGUGGCGAACGGGUGAGUAAUAUAUCGGAACGUGCCCAGUCGUGGGGGAUAACGUAGAGAAAUUUGCGCUAAUACCGCAUACGAUCUAAGGAUGAAAGCGGGGGACUUCGCAAGAGGCCUCGCGCGAUUGGAGCGGCUGAUAUCAGAUUAGGUUGUUGGUGAGGUAAAAGCUCACCAAGCCGACGAUCUGUAGCUGGUUUGAGAGAACGACCAGCCACACUGGGACUGAGACACGGCCCAGACUCCUACGGGAGGCAGCAGUGGGGAAUUUUGGACAAUGGGCGAAAGCCUGAUCCAGCAAUGCCGCGUGCAGGAAGAAGGCCUUCGGGUUGUAAACUGCUUUUGUACGGAACGAAAAGGUCUGCCUUAAUACGGUGGGCCCAUGACGGUACCGUAAGAAUAAGCACCGGCUAACUACGUGCCAGCAGCCGCGGUAAUACGUAGGGUGCGAGCGUUAAUCGGAAUUACUGGGCGUAAAGCGUGCGCAGGCGGUGAUGUAAGACAGUUGUGAAAUCCCCGGGCUCAACCUGGGAAUUGCAUCUGUGACUGCAUCGCUAGAGUACGGUAGAGGGGGAUGGAAUUCCGCGUGUAGCAGUGAAAUGCGUAGAUAUGCGGAGGAACACCGAUGGCGAAGGCAAUCCCCUGGACCUGUACUGACGCUCAUGCACGAAA